UAACCCGUGUUGAAAGGCACGGCUGAACUGGCAGGAGUCAGCAGAUGUCAUAGUACCUGUGAGGAG
rnacentral:autocatalytically_spliced_intron from 1 species